rnacentral:rRNA from 1 species
AGCGAACGCUGGCGGCAGGCCUAACACAUGCAAGUCGAACGAACUCUUCGGAGUUAGUGGCGGACGGGUGAGUAACACGUGGGAACGUGCCUUUUGGUUCGGAAUAACUCAGGGAAACUUGUGCUAAUACCGAAUGUGCCCUUCGGGGGAAAGAUUUAUCGCCAUUAGAGCGGCCCGCGUCUGAUUAGCUAGUUGGUGAGGUAACGGCUCACCAAGGCGACGAUCAGUAGCUGGUCUGAGAGGAUGACCAGCCACACUGGGACUGAGACACGGCCCAGACUCCUACGGGAGGCAGCAGUGGGGAAUCUUGCGAAAUGGGCGAAAGCCUGACGCAGCCAUGCCGCGUGAAUGAUGAAGGUCUUAGGAUUGUAAAAUUCUUUCAACGGGGACGAUAAUGACGGUACCCGGAGAAGAAGCCCCGGCUAACUUCGUG